UACGUAGGUGGCAAGCGUUGUCCGGAUUUAUUGGGUUUAAAGGGUGCGUAGGCGGCUUUGUAAGUCAGUGGUGAAAUAUGGCAGCUUAACUGUCAAGGUGCCAUUGAUACUGCGGAGCUUGAGUACAGAUGAGGUAGGCGGAAUUGACGGUGUAGCGGUGAAAUGCUUAGAUAUCGUCAAGAACACCUAUAGCAAGGCAGCUUACUAGGCUGUAACUGACGCUGAGGCACGAAAGUGUGGGGAUCAAACAGG
rnacentral:rRNA from 1 species